UGAGGAAUAUUGGUCAAUGGACGGGAGUCUGAACCAGCCAAGUAGCGUGCAGGAUGACGGCCCUAUGGGUUGUAAACUGCUUUUAUAGGGGGAUAAAGUGUGCCACGUGUGGCAUAUUGCAGGUACCCUAUGAAUAAGGACCGGCUAAUUCCGUGCCAGCAGCCGCGGUAAUACGGAAGGUCCGGGCGUUAUCCGGAUUUAUUGGGUUUAAAGGGUGCGUAGGCUGUUUGUCAAGUCAGAGGUGAAAGGCCGCAGCUCAACUGUGGAAUUGCCUUUGAUACUGGCAGGCUUGAAUACUGUUGCCGUGGGAGGAAUGAGUAGUGUAGCGGUGAAAUGCAUAGAUAUUACUCAGAACACCGAUUGCGAAGGCAUCUCACGAAGCAGACAUUGACGCUGAGGCACGAAAGCGUGGGGAU
rnacentral:rRNA from 1 species